GGUCUCUGGACACUAUGGGCACACGACUCCUCCCAGCUCUGUUUCUUGUCCUCCUGGUAUUGGGAUUUGGUCCAGGGGACCCAACAGCCCCAGCAAGAUGAGAUGCCUAGCCCGACCUUCCUCACCCAGGUGAAGGAAUCUCUCUCCAGUUACUGGGAGUCAGCAAAGACAGCCGCCCAGAACCUGUACGAGAAGACAUACCUGCCCGCUGUAGAUGAGAAACUCAGGGACUUGUACAGCAAAAGCACAGCAGCCAUGAGCACUUACACAGGCAUUUUUACUGACCAAGUUCUUUCUGUGCUGAAGGGAGAGGAGUAACAGCCAGACCCCCCAUCAGUGGACAAGGGGAGAGUCCCCUACUCCCCUGAUCCCCCAGGUUCAGACUGAGCUCCCCCUUCCCAGUAGCUCUUGCAUCCUCCUCCCAACUCUAGCCUGAAUUCUUUUCAAUAAAAAAUACAAUUCAAGUUGCUUCUCAUGGAUGGCACUGCUUUUCUGAGGACUCAAGGGCCAAGAUGGAGGGGCUGACUCAGUCCAGCCAACAUUUAAUGAGCACCUACUUUAUGUAUGGAGCUCUAACCCAUGGGUCCAUGGGAAUAAAGCAGUGAAUAGUAACAAUAAAUAAU
rnacentral:lncRNA from 1 species